GAAGAAAAUGGCUGAGAACCAGCAGCUGAAGAAAGCAAGAAAAUGUGAAUGAAGUCACAAAUGCCACCAAGGAAAAGCAGAACAGAAAAAUAACUUGAGUAUUCAAGAUGGGCAGACUAGUUCAAAGACUCAUCAAGCCUUGUGAAGGGGUGACUCCGAGGCAUGGCAGCACAUGCCUGUUGCCCCACCACGCAGGCAGGUGGUGAUGAAUUCUACACUAACCUUGGCUACACAGUGAGACACUGCCCCCAAAACAGAAACAAAAAGCAAAAAGUUUCUCAGUGAACCUCAGAAAAGGUUCCUAAAGUAACAAAAGAAUCAAAAUAUGCCCUAACUCACCCCAAAUGCCAAGAGCCUUGCUAUUUUUAGUAAGUACCUCCAUAAAAUGCACUGUUCCCCGCCCCCCCCCCCGAAAACC
rnacentral:lncRNA from 1 species